GGUUGCGCAGGCGCGGACUGCCUUCAGACACGUGGUGGUGAUGUUGCCGGCUUGUUGUAUAUAUUGCUAGCAAGACCGGUAAUUGACGCCAUCGGAUGGCUUAGAGGUCGGCAUUUUUGGUGGUUGUCUUUGUCGUGCCGUGAGGACAGUAAUUGAAGGCGGGAGGAGAAGGGGACGUCAGAGGAUGAGAUGGUUGGAUGGCAUCACCGACUCAAUGGACAGGAGUUUGAGUAUACUCCGGGAGUUGGUGAUGGACAAGGGAGGCCUGGCGUGCUGCAGUCCAUGGGGUCGCAAAGAGUCGGACACGACUGAGCCACUGAACUGAAACUGAAUUGAGGACAGUAGUAUCUCCUGGGACCAACACUCCAAAGAUACCUACUUAUUGGACGUCAACCGGAGAAACGUCAAAGAAGAAUGGUUUAUGGCUGUGGUUUGGCAGUUAAUAACAACUAAGCGCUUACUACUCACCAGGAACUUUUUAUAAACACCUUACCGUCGCUAAGUCAUUUAACGAUUUAAAGAAACUUGUGAGAGGGACUUACCUUGUGGUCCAGUGGGUAAGCCUCCGCUCUCUCACUGCAGGGGGCGCGGAUAUUAUCUAUCCCUGGUAGGGGAAGUAAGAUCCGCGUCCUGCGGGACGCAUCCAGAAGAAAAUAAAGGAAACCUGUGACAGAUUAACCAAAUUCUAACUAAUAAGUGCAGAGGCACAACUGGAACUCAGAAUUCUCACCCUGAAGCCUGAAGUGUCUAAUCAUUAGAACUGAUGCUUUCGGUUACUUCAUCUAUCAGAUAAAUGUCAAAUGCUUGGUGAGAACUGCUGAAUUCCUGCUAGAUGCUAGAGUUGUAAAGAAGACCUUAUUCCAGCCUGAGUGCCUUCCAGCCCGAGUCCCUCCUAGAGCCCAGGUCCCCAGACUAAGGUGGACGAGAAUCCACAGACAAAAAGUAGUAUACAAAGUGCUGUGAUAGCUUAGUGAGCAGCAGUACUGUCAGCAUGAAAAGCUGCCUCCCACCAGGAAUGGUACAGCAACUUGUUCUCCCUGUCUUUGUAUGUUGCCUAACUCAUCCCACCAAACUCCCAAUCCACCGGUAACCGUGCCGCAGAUCUACAUUCACAGAUUUCAGGCGGCUUCAGCAUUAGGCGCCAAGCUAUGGUACUAGUCUAAUUUCUCUGCCACUGCUCUCUUCAUUCUCCUAAGGGUCUGGCAUUCCAUUUUUGUUUUUGCACUCUGUCCUUUUAAGACCCAGGUUACUUUUUUUCUGGGUCUUAAUUAUUCUUUUUUUAAUUUUAUUUUUUAUACAGUUUUAAAGGUUACACUCCAUUUAGUUAUUACAAAAUAUUGGCUAUAUAUCUCCCAUGUUGUACAAUACAUUCUCGUAGCCUCUCUUACACCUAGUAGUUUGUACUUCUCACUUCCCUACCCCUAUAUCGACCCUCCCCUCUCCCCAUUAGUAACCACUAGUUUGUUCUCUAAAUCUAUGAACCUGCUUCUUUUUUGUUAUAUUCAUUAGUUUGUUGUAUCUUUUAGAUUCCCCAUAUAAGUGAUAUCAUACAAUAUUUGUCUUUCUCUGACUUAUUUCACUUAGCAUAAUGCCCUCCAAGUUCAUCCAAGUUGCUGCAAAUGGUGAAAUUUCAUAGUUGCUGCAAAUGGUAAAAUUUCAUUCUUUUUCUAAUGGCUGG
ensembl:lncRNA